rnacentral:lncRNA from 1 species
CACAGUAUGUAUCUUAUGUUUAUGUGUACCGGUCUAUCUGUUUGUGAUUUGUUUUAUGGUAUGUAUCUCUUUAUGUAUACCUGUCUAAGUGUUUGUCAUUUGUUUCAUUGUAUGUUUUUAUGGUUUAUGUGUACCAGUUUAUGUGAGUUUUUUAUGGUAUGUAUCUUUGUUGAUGUGUACCCAUCUAGGUGUUUGUAAUUUGUCUCAUGGUAUAUAUCUUUGUUUAUGUGUACCCGUAUAGGUGUUGUGGCAUGGUGUAUAUCUUUUCAUUUUCUGUGAUGCUGUCUAGACGGUUGUGUUAUGUGACAAGAUAUUUAUCUUUUCUUUAUAUGUUGCUGUCUAAGUGUUUGUUAUUUGUGACACGGUAAAUAUAUAUUUAUUUAUCUGUUUGCAUGUUUAGGUGUUAAUAGUUUGUUCCAUGAUAUAUCUCUAUAUUGUUAACUCAAUAUCUGACUGAGUGACAGUUAUGGUUUUAAGUGUUCAUUUUGACACAGCUGCAUACUUUAAUUAAAGUUCAGUGUUUUAUUCUUUUGUUUUUUUCCCCCUUCUAAUCUUUAGGUAAUAAUUGCAGUGCUGAUGAUGGUUUGACAAUCAAUCAAAAAGUGAUAGUUUGCCUCUAAGAGAAUCUUUAUAAAAAUAUUUCCCAAAUGGAACUAUGCAGAGAUAAUUUCCAUAUAUCAAUGGAAACAUUUCUUGUAUAAACAACCUGUCACACAUUUCACAUCCAUAAUAGAUGAGAAAACCCUUUAUUUUUCUUUCAGAC